UUUUCGCGGACCAAAGGAUUGGCUGGGUGAGAAAAAGCGGGGUUUGCAUACGAUCUUCAAUAACCGAAACCCUAGCCUACGUCUGCCUUCUAUCUCCCAGCCUUCUACAUAACAAACAAAUAAAUCCUUUCUUCUCUGUGUUCAUAUUGUUGAUGAUGGAGUCGGCGGAAACAGGAGAAUGCCUGUGGAUGGUGACAGACGACUACAUCUUUGGCAUCCGCGUUGAGAAGUUAGAAAAAUUGGGGAAGAAUGAGGAUAGGGAUUGGAAAUCCCAUCUUGAGCAGGCUCCGUUUGAUUUCUGUUUGAAUCUUCCAGAGUCCAGCAUGCCGGAUCACUUUAUCUUCGACUCGAAACUUUUCUUAGUCGGUAAGCAAACCGAGUCUGGCACCAAGAUCUACCAAAUCUCCUAUGUCGGUGGCAACACGUUGGGCAUAUCUGAGGCAGUAGAGACGGGCGCAAUCCCUCCGCUACCGACCGAAGACUUCCUUUUCCUUGCAAACAUUAAAGAUGAGGUUUACUUGUUGGAGCUUGGUGCGGUACCACUGUUAGGAAGAAAGACGAGGUUAUGGGUUUUAUGUCCCAAUCCCCGUCCCCCGAACUGGCAUUCCGCGCCCGAUCCUCCAACCGAAGUCAACUCUGAUUAUUGCUUUGCUGGUGGAUAAUAACGAUUAUUGCAUUCUUCGCCAUCAAGACCUUGAUGAGUUGUGUGAGGCGAUCCAACCAUCCUUCUUUGAUGAUUUUUCCUCCAAUCUCAACUUGGUUGACCUUGGCAACAACAAAGUAUGUGUUACCAUCUCUGGUCUCGCAGAAGGCAUUCCAUCCUUUUGCAUUUUAGUAGUUGAAUUAGGGUUGGUACAAGAGGAGCAGCAGCAAAGGUUCUUAUCUGUGCGUGUACUCGUGAAUCGAGUCUUCGAUACGAGGCCUUAUUUCUUAGAUGACCGCGUUGUUCAAGUGCUCGACACCUCCUUUCUUUUCUCCCUCAGAAAGGGAAUGCCUCGCAAACAUCCAUAUUCCCAAGAUUGCAUCUCUCCAAGGAAAGAGCCCAAGCUAGCUGGUGGGACGAAUCCAAGCAACCCAACAACAGCAUUCGAACAAGAAUGACUAACUUCAACCUGUUCAUAUUAAGUGUUAUAUGAAGCAGUUGUGGUCGAUUCUGGGACAUUGUCAUUCUAGGGGUGUGAUGUAACAAAUAAGGCAAGAUCUUUUUAUCACCGGAUAGCUUUUCUGUCAUUUGGUGAUGCCGUGCCAAAAUCAUGGUGGUCACCGAUGUGGUGGUGGUAGAUACAGAGGAGGAAGCGGUGAAAGAAGGUAGAUCGAUGGAAAGAACUGAGCGGUUGCCACAGAAAGCACAUGCAGCGAGACUAGGCAAGAGGAGAGCACAGCAGCGGCGGCGACAAGAACGGAGCGGUUAGAUCUAUUUAUUUCCUGUCACGGUGAAAGGGACAACAGCAGUGGUGGUAGGGUUACGGCAGUCGAAGAGGUUGCGGCGGCAACUAUGGUAGUCGAGGAGUCUAAGGCAGCGGUGGACUCAGUGGUCAAACUGGAGUUCGUGGUAAUAGUUGACAUGGUGAUGGUGGAUAAGGUGGGGGAUGUGAUGACGGUCGUGCAUGUACAGCCAUGGUGGGCUGGAUCAAGGAUUGCAACCAGGGAGGAGGCAGAUGCCAAGGUAGGUACGGCAGCGUUUGUGGCGGCGGAAGCUGCUACAACUAUGGGAUUUUCUGGGCAUUUUGCAACAAAUUGUCCAACAAGCCCUCUGAGAAAAUAAAGGCAGCAGCACCAGAUCACUCUCAAGAGGCACGCUCCUACCUCGGGUGAUUUCUUCUUUUUCUUUUUUCAAUGACAGAUUGAUGAUGGUUUGCGAUGAAGAGUUGUGUAUGUUCCUUACUAUUUGAUUUGAUGUAUAUAUUUGUAAUGUUGUUGUUGUUAUUAGCGUCUUUAUCUGGUGUGGAGCCGUUGAUGCAGAAAACCCAGAACCACAUUAUUAUUGCCAGGAUUCUAAUUGCUCUUCGACAAAAGGGUGUGGGAGCAACAUGAAUCCAAUGACAUGCUGAUUUCAAAGCAUCAACAUGAUCAAGAACUUGGAAAUGAAGAGAUGAGGUUGCAAUUCAAGAGGAGAAGAUUAAUGAAAGGUGAAAGAGCUACUUCUACGAGUUAUUUAAUGAGGGACAGAAGACUCUUCUGAGCCUUGGUCGAUUAUGCACAAGGGAAGAAGAUCAAAACUUUGACUACUAUCGAAGGAUUCGAGACUUCGAGGUAAAAGAUGCUCUAAAGCAAAUGAAAAAUGGCAGGGCAGUAGGACCUAAUAAUAUCCCGAUUGAGGUUUGGAAUGGUCUUGGAGAAAAAGACAUCAACUGGUUAACCAAACUUUUUAAUGAGAUUUUAAGGUCAAAGAAGAUGCUUGAAGAGUGGAGAAAGAGUACCUUGAUACCUAUCUACAAGAAUAAGGGGAUAUACAAAAUUGCGAAAAUUAUAGAGGGAUUAAGCUUAUGAAUCAUACUAUGAAGUUAUGGAAAGGGUGAUAGAACGGAGGUUGAGAAAAGAAACACUAGUAACAGAGAACCAAUUUGGAUUUAUGCAGGAAGAUCUACCACUGAAGCGAUAUACCUAUUAAGAAGGAUGAUGGAGAGGUAUCGUAGUAAUAAAAUGGAUCUACAUAUAGUGUUUAUUGAUUUGGAAAAAGCGUAUGAUAGGGUACCAAGGGAGGUCUUAUGUAAGGUUUUAGAAAAGAGGAGAGUAAGGAUCGCAUAUAUUCGGGUAAUUAAAGACAUGUAUGAUGGGGCCACAACUAGUGUGAAGACUCAAUGUGGUGUGACGGUGGAAUUCCCUAUUGGUAUAGGAUUACACCAGGGAUCAUCCUUAAGUCCAUACCUUUUCACAUUAGUCUUGGAAGUACUCACAGAGCACAUCCAAGAGCCUAUGCCAUGGUGCAUGCUUUUUGCCGAUGAUAUCGUCCUUAUGGGAGAGUCAAGGGAAGACCUAAAUAAGAAGUUGGAGUCAUGGAGAGAAACUUUAGAAGUGUAUGGUAUGCGCAUAAGCCGUAGCAAGAUGGAAUAUAUGAAAUGUAAGUUCAGUCUGAGAAGGAAAAACCCCAAUAUAGAGGUGAAGAUUAGAGAAAACAUCCUAGGAAAAGUUAAAAGUUUUAAGUAUUUGGGGUGCAUCAUACAGGAUAAUGGAGAGAUUGAACAUGAUGUAAAUCAUAGGAUCCAAACAAGUUGGUCAAAAUGGCGGAGUGCAUCUGGUUUUAUAUGUGACAAAAAAGUGCCUUUAAAACUUAAAGGUAAAUUCUAUCGUACUGUUAUAAGACCAGCUAUGCUGUAUGGUACGGAGUGUUGAACGGCUAAAAGGGAGCACGAACAUAAGAUAAGUGUGGCAGAGAUAAAGAUGUUGAGAUGGAUGAGUGGUCAUACGCGAUUGGAUAAAAUAAGGAAUGAAGAUAUAAGGAAGAGAGUUGGAGUAGCACCCAUUGUGGAAAAGAUGGUUGAAUCGCGUCUCAGGUAGUUUGGACAUGUGAGAAGAAGACCGAUAGAACAUCCAGUCAGGAGGGUGGAUGAGAUGGAAGAUGGACAAAUGGCGAAAGAUAGAGGAAGACCUAAGAAGACCAUCCAUGAGGUGGUCAAACGAGAUCUACAUGUAAACGGUCUCUCUGUAGAUAUGAUACAUGACAGAGCACAAUGACAUCGUUUAAUUCAUGUAGCUGACCCCAUUUAGUGGGACAAGAUUUUGUUGUUGUUGUUGUUGUUGUUGUUCCUUUUUUAUUUUUUUAAAAAAUUAUUUUCAUUUUAAUCAAGUAGCUAAGUAUGCAAAACUGUUGUUGGAUCUGAAUAGACAUGCUCAUGUUUAAUUGAUUUAUGAAAAUAUUCAAACAAAUUUAUUUAUUAAAAUGUCAUAUGUUGAAAUCAUGUCCAGCGUCCAAUGUAUCUAGAACGAUGAAGUUCACACUUAGUUACUGCCCAUAGAAACCUUUGGUCUAUUCAAUUAAUUACUCUCCAUUCUAUUUUCAUAUUGACUUAAUUAAUCAUCGCAAAAGCCUUUUUAUUUAUCAAUCACUUCUUUCUGUCAUUGGUGAUAGUUAAUUAAAUCUACGUUGAACUUUAUUUUUUAAUUUUCUGGUUUGAUUUAGUUUUGAAACUGCUUUUUUUAUGAGAGGAAAACUUGAUAUUAUGGGAUUUCAAAUUAAGAGCACUUUUAGUUAAUCAUGUUUUAAUAAUUUCUUUUGCUUUUCAAGUAAAGAGUGAUUUUCUAAGCUAGCUUGGGUUCAAAUCCAGCGCUUAUGAAAUAAUAUUUAAUUUCUUGCUCCCAUCCUUUACGUUUGUUUCAUCAUCUGUGUUAGCAAAAGUAGCAGUAAGAAUAUGAGAGUGAAAUUUUUUUGAAAAUUCAUAUAAUUAUCUGCAAAAAUUAGUUGAUGAGUUGGUGAUAUCUCUACCAUAAGUAUCACCAAUAUAAUGCUGGCUUAGCUUCUUAAUUAAUUAUCUAUCGAUGAUUUGAUAAGUAGUUGGAUAGAAGGUACAAGCACUACUUCAAUCAGAUGAAGGGAGUGGUGGUAUCAUUUGAGGUUGUGACUGGGGAGGGGCUACCACUUUGCCAAUGGUUAGAGUGUUUCUAACUUGGUACCUUGAAUGUUCCCACACUAGCUAUUGCUGAAUAAUGAAUCUGAAUAUUAUUAUUUUCUGGUAUUUAUAAUUUCACUAUAUUAUUCUAUAUGAUUUUUAGUUGAAUUUGAGAAUAGUACUAUUAGUGGAACUAAUGCUAUGAUUGAUUAAUUCACUUGAUCGAUAGAGUAUUCUGGUAUUUUUCACCUUGCACACUACAAUAGGAGAGAAAUUCAUAUUCUUAAAGAUGUUAGUGGAAUAAUAAAAUCAUCAUGGUAAAAUGAUUCUCAUUUAUAUUCAGUUCUAUUUAAUGUAUACAAUGAGGGCAAUUUAACAUUUACUUUAUGAAGCCUUUUUUUGAAACAAAAAUAUUUGAAUACCUAUACAUUUCUUUUUUUCUGGUGUGAAAUCUCAGGAUGACAUUCUAGCCGGGUCCUCUGGGUGCUAAGAAAACUACAUUGCUUCAAGCACUCGUAAGAAAAUUUGACCGUAACUUUAGAGUUUAUUCCUAUUUCAUUAUGCUUUCUUUUUUUUUUCAACUAUAUAAUUAGUUACUACCUCCAUUUCCAAAAAGCUGUCCAUAUGAGUGAUUUAACAGUAUUUAUUUGUUUCAAAAUAUUUUGUAUGAGAAUUGCUCAGUUUAAAAUCAUUUAUAGGGAUUCACUGGUAAUUUCUGGUUGAAUUUUAAGUAGUCGUACUUAAGAAUCAUCACAAUUGCUUUAAUUUAUUUUCAUUUAUUUUUAUGUUUUAUGAAUGAUUGAAUAGUUUCAUUGGGCACUGUAUUUGUAUUUUAGAAUUCAAAGAAGUCGUUUGCUAAUUUGAAUUGUUCAUUCUUCAGAUUUCGCUCUCUUUACUUGACUUUUCGUACAUUUUUGUCACCUGUAAUAAUAAUAUACUGCUUUUCUUUGCUUCCCUUCACAAGUUCGGUUCUUAGUUAAUUAGAAUAAUCAUCUACUAAAUUAAACAUGUGUAAAGAUAAUUUUUUCUAUUUCUUAAUUAUCUCCUACUUCAACUAAUAGCACGAUGUGUAGUAUAGCUAGCUAGGUAGAUCAGAGAAUAAUAUUGCAUGCCUGUUUAAAUAUGAUGCAAAAUUGAUUUUUAUGAAGAAUUAAUGUAAAGGUAUAAGGAGCAGCUGAGUA